UUUUUGUGUGCCUGGCUGUAUGUCUGAGUAAAGAGGUAUUCUCUUGAGGAGUCGCUCAACGCCUGGGCACGGCGUUGCUGGUUUUAUGCUCGUAGUAACGUGUUUUUAGAACCUGACUAAUUUAUGGGACCACCGGUUUAGUGCAGUGGGACUGUUUCCCAUGCGUUUGAGAGGGCGCAUGCUUAUGCUGCCAUUGUUCUUUCUAAAAUUGAAGAGCGUUUUCUUUCCUAAUAAAAUAAGAGUUCAGAGUAAUAGGAGAAAGGAUAUGUAGAGCCAGAUGUUGAAAGCUGCCUCAACAUCGGCUGUAUCAACAGUGGGACAGUACAACAGAUCAACUGGCACCAUAACAGAAGACUUUAGCAAGCAAAUAAAACAACAGUUUUCCUCAAGCAAGCAUAGGAUGCUGUGCAGCUGCUGAACCUCUGCAAGUAGGGAGGGAAGGAGGCCUCUGAGCUGGGCUCUCUUCUGCCAUCAUGUGGAGGACGGGAGUCCUGAUGAGCCAGGAGACCGGAUCCACUAGAUGCUGGAGUGAGGGAAGGAGUAUGUUAUUUGCCGGAGAGAUCUUUGGUUGAUGGAGAAGGGCACUACUAUCUUAGAGGCUGUGGAUUGAUUCUCAUGGAUAUGUGGAGGAGGAAAAGGGUAACUACAGAAAAAGAAGCUGCUGUGCUGAAAUUGCUUCAGGCUAGCUCUUGGAAGCUCUGCUCAUCUGAAAAGGCUUGAAAGAACACUGAAGGUGUAGAGGGAAGGCGACAGACCAAGUACGUGGAGGGGCAAUGCACACUCUGCCUCUCUUCUGUGAAAAAUGAAGAUACAGAUUCUAGAAAGCUGUGGAGGCACAAAGCUUGUUAAAUCCUUGGCACAUUUUUCAGAGGAAGCCAGAUGUAUUUAGGGAAACGUCACUGGCGAUAUUAAUGUUGCUUAAAAAACUCCACAACUGCUUUCUAAACAUAAGCUUCUCUUAGUUAUAAAGCACUGGUUACUUUCAUCAAAGGAAAUGGCUGUGAGGAAAGUUACACUGAUCAAGAUGGAAAGAAUGCCAGAAAAAACAAUAAAAGAUUGGAACAAUUGUGAAUCAUGCAAAGACAGAUCUCCUUCUCAGUCAUAGGUUUUGGGAAGACCUUACUGCUUAAAGUUUCAAAACAAAGCCUACAAAGCCGUGGAAAGAGAUGCUUAUGAAAUCAACAGGAAAUUUUAUCUGGUAAGAAAAACACGAGUGUGCUACAGUCAUACGCUUCUUUUUUCUUCUAGCAAGAAGUGCUUAGAGGGGCACAGCAACCCAUAUUUUCUACUCACUGACUCACAGAAGUGACUCUGUACAGACCUUGCUGGUUGCCAAUUUUCAAAUACUGUUUCAAUGAAAAUCACUUUUGAAAUAAAAGGGAAUUAAA
rnacentral:lncRNA from 1 species